UGGGGAAUAUUGCACAAUGGGCGAAAGCCUGAUGCAGCAACGCCGCGUGAGUGAUGAAGGCCCUCGGGUUGUAAAGCUCUGUCUUUUGGGACGAUAAUGACGGUACCAAAGGAGGAAGCCACGGCUAACUACGUGCCAGCAGCCGCGGUAAUACGUAGGUGGCAAGCGUUGUCCGGAUUUACUGGGCGUAAAGGAUGCGUAGGCGGAUUUUUAAGUGAGAUGUGAAAACCCUAAGCUUAACUUGGGGACUGCAUUUCAUACUGGAAAUCUAGAGUGCGGGAGAGGAGAAUGGAAUUCCUAGUGUAGCGGUGAAAUGCGUAGAGAUUAGGAAGAACACCAGUGGCGAAGGCGAUUCUCUGGACCGUAACUGACGCUGAGGCAUGAAAGCGUGGGUAGCAAACAGGAUUAGAUACCCUGGUAGUCCACGCCGUAAACGAUGAGUACUAGGUGUAGGAGGUAUCGACCCCUUCUGUGCCGCAGUUAACACAAUAAGUACUCCGCCUGGGGAAGUACGAUCGCAAGAUUAAAACUCAAAGGAAUUGACGGGGGUCAUAGCUG
rnacentral:rRNA from 1 species